rnacentral:sRNA from 2 species
AUAAGCAUUUAUAAAUAGGGUGCAGAAUCCUAGGCUUGGGUUCAGCCGAGCGAAGCGAGACAACGUUGCCCCGACGAAGUCGGAAAGGCGACGGCCCGAAGGGCGUGAGCGAAGCGAACAGUAAAUCCCUCUAUAUCACGA